rnacentral:rRNA from 1 species
UACGUAGGGUGCAAGCGUUAUCCGGAAUCAUUGGGCGUAAAGCGCGUGUAGGCGGUUCCGUAAGUCCGCUCUGAAAGCCCCAGGGCUCAACCCUGGGAGGCGGGUGGAUACUACGGAACUGGAGUACGGAAGAGGAGAUUGGAAUUCCAGGUGUAGCGGUGAAAUGCGUAGAUAUCUGGAGGAACACCGGUGGCGAAGGCGGCAUCCUGGACCGGUAUUGACACUGAUGAGCGAAAGCCAGGGGAGCAAACGGG